rnacentral:misc_RNA from 1 species
UGGACGACGAGCGAUGGCGGG